CAUCAGUAGCCGCGGGAAAACGAAGGGGGCUAGCGUUGUUCGGAUUUACUGGGCGUAAAGGGCGCGUAGGCGGGCGAAUAAGUCAGGGGUGAAAUCCCAAGGCUCAACCUUGGAACUGCCUUUGAUACUGUUUGUCUUGAGUCCGAGAGAGGUAAGUGGAACUGCGAGUGUAGAGGUGAAAUUCGUAGAUAUUCGCAAGAACACCAGUGGCGAAGGCGACACACUGGCUCAUUACUGACGCUGAGGCGCGAAAGCGUGGGGAGCAAACAGGAUUAGAUACCCCGGUAGUCCCUGUCUCUUAUAC
rnacentral:rRNA from 1 species